CAUCGCACAUCGCACCCUCUGGUAUUCUAGGGGGUAUGCCUAUUCGAGCGUCAUUUCAACCCUCAAGCCCAGCUUGGUAUUGGGUGUCACCUGGCAAUGGUGCACCUUAAAUCCAGUGGCGGUGCUAUCUGGCUUCAAGCGUAGUAAAACAAUCGCUUUUGGAGGUUUGGAGAUCAGGUAUGGAUACCCGCUGAACUUGA
rnacentral:misc_RNA from 1 species